rnacentral:rRNA from 1 species
GUGCCAGCAGCCGCGGUAAUACGUAGGGCGCAACGUUGUCCUGGAAUUAUUUGGGCGUAAAGAGCUCGUAGGCGGCUUGUCACGUCGGAUGUGAAAGCCCGGGGCUUAACCCCGGGUCUGCAUUCGAUACGGGCUAGCUAGAGUGUGGUAGGGGAGAUCGGAAUUCCUGGUGUAGCGGUGAAAUGCGCAGAUAUCAGGAGGAACACCGGUGGCGAAGGCGGAUCUCUGGGCCAUUACUGACGCUGAGGAGCGAAAGCGUGGGGAGCGAACAGGAUUAGAUACCCUGGUAGUCC